GAUGAAGAACGCAGCGAAAUGCGAUAAGUAAUGCGAAUUGCAGAAUUCAGUGAGUCAUCGAAUCUUUGAACGCACAUUGCGCCCUGUGGUAUUCCGCAGGGCAUGCCUGUUCGAGCGUCAUUUCAACCCUCAAGCCUCGCUUGGUGUUGGGCCCUGCCCGCCGCGGCCGGCCCUAAAGAUAGUGGCGGCGCCGCCUUGCCCUCAGCGUAGUACAGCUCUCGCUCCAGGGUCCGGCGGCAGCCUGCCAGAACCCCCCAACUCUGUGGUUGACCUCGGAUCAGGUAGGGAUACCCGCUGAACUUAAGCAUAUCAAUAAGCGGAGGA
rnacentral:misc_RNA from 1 species